GGACCUGACUGCUAUCGGAUUGAUACUAAGCCAUGCGAGUCAUUGUAGCAAUACAAGGCAGACGGCUCAGUAACGCGUAGUCAACCUACCCUAUGGACGGGAAUAACCUCGGGAAACUGAGUAUAAUGCCCGAUAGAACAUUAUGCCUGGAAUGGUUUAUGUUCCAAAUGAUUUAUCGCCGUAGGAUGGGACUGCGGCCUAUCAGUUUGUUGGUGAGGUAAUGGCCCACCAAGACUAUUACAGGUACGGGCUCUGAGAGGAGUGGCCCGGAGAUGGGUACUGAGACACGGACCCAGGCCCUAUGGGGCGCAGCAGGCGAGAAAACUUUGCAAUGUGCGAAAGCACGACAAGGUUAAUCCGAGUGGUUUCUGCUAAAGGAACCUUUUGUCAGUCCUAGAAACACUGAUGAAUAAGGGGUGGGCAAGUUCUGGUGUCA
rnacentral:rRNA from 1 species